rnacentral:lncRNA from 1 species
CGGCCGGGGCGGGAGCGUCAAGUGCAGAGAGCUGGGGCCUGGGGCGCCGCGAGCCGCCGUAGGGCACGUCCGAACCGGAGCGAGCCUCAUCUGGCUGUCUGGAAUUACAGAUGUGCACCAUCAUGCCUAGUCAGGUGCACACGAGUCCAGUUUAUGCCUCUUGAACAAACUUCACCUCAGAGGGUGAGGCUCCUCGAGGGAGUCUUGUGCCUUCUGCCGAUCCCACCUGCCCUAUCACCCCAGUCACCCCAGCCAACCCAGCCUUGGCUGGACUGCAACUCCCCGUCCCUGUUGCCCCCAAGUCACUCUUGGAUCCUCUUUCUGUCCCAAGACCUCUCUAGCCCUUGUAAACCCUCUCACGCCCUCCACUGUCGCCCCUCUAGGGUGGAGCAGAGCAGCAGCUGCAGGGACCCCCUCACCUCUUCCUUGGCCCACACCCACCAGGCACUCAUCUGGCAGAGGCACAAGCCCCCAGCCGCUCUCCACUCGCUUCCACGCCCAGGCAUCGUCAGAACCUUUCCCAAAGGCCCUGAACCUGCUUCUGCCAAGUCAACCUGGAAAACCCUCAGGCCGGGUUUGACAGCCACAGCCAUGGCUGAAGAUGAAGAUGCUGGGCAAGAACUCCAGAGGCAGUGGCGGGAAGAUCGCUGAGAGGUGGAGGCCAGCCUGGACCACAGAGUGAGUUGGAGACCAGCCUGAACUACAUACCAAGUCCCUGACUAAAAAAAAAAAACAAAAAACAAACAAAAACCACAAAAAGAUACUCUGGCUACAUGAUUUUUACUAAAUAAAAGAAUUAAAAUUAACUUACGUGUUUUUCCCUUUGUAAAAUGUGGCUUCAUUAAAGGCAAUUCUCACUGAUGUAUGUGGCCCAUCGUGAGCACGUGAUAUUCUUCUAGGCCGGUGCUGGCCCAAGACAAGCAAUUUAUAUCCUACUGCUAAAAUGUUUCUGUCUGGAUGUUGUCUCUUCUCCAUGGACUUUGUGCCCUGGUUUUGGCUAUGUCAGGUAGUUCAGUAAAUCUUCAGAGCUGGUCAGGUAACUUUCUCUUCCCAAUGCCUUUAAGCAUGGAAGACAAAGUUCAUGAGUAUAACAUUACAUAGAUUGCAAAAACAGAUUGAAAGAAAAAGGCUCUUUUUUUUUUUUUUUUUUUUUUUUUUUUUUUUUGUUUUUUUUAUACGGGGUC